GGCCGCCUGGCGAAAUGGCAUCGCGUCUGACUACGAUUUAAACCUCGAAAUCAGGAGAUUGCAGGUUCGACCCCUGCGGUGGUCA